GACGAACGCUGGCGGCGUGCUUAACACAUGCAAGUCGAACGGAAAGUCCCUGCUUGCAGGGUACUCGAGUGGCGAACGGGUGAGUAACACGUUGAUGAUCUGCCCUGCACUUCGGGAUAAGCCUGGGAAACUGGGUCUAAUACCGGAUAGGAGCCAUUUUUAGUGUGGUUGUUGGAGAGUUUUUUCGGUGUAGUAUGAGCUCGCGGCCUAUCAGCUUGUUGGUGGGGUAAUGGCCUACCAAGGCGGCUACGGGUAGCCGGCCUGAGAGGGUGGACGGCCACAUUGGGACUGAGAUACGGCCCAGACUCCGACGGGAGGCAGAAGUGGGGAAUAUUGAACAAUGGGAGCAAGCCUGAUGCAGCGCCGCCGCGGGGGGGAUGACGGCCUUCGGGUUGUAAAUUCAUUUCGCUAGGGCCGAAGCUUUUUGUGACGGUACCUAGAUAAGAAGCACCGGCUAACUCCGUG
rnacentral:rRNA from 1 species